AGUGAACGCUGGCGGUAGGCCUAACACAUGCAAGUCGAACGGCAGCACAGUAAGAGCUUGCUCUUACGGGUGGCGAGUGGCGGACGGGUGAGGAAUACAUCGGAAUCUACUUUUUCGUGGGGGAUAACGUAGGGAAACUUACGCUAAUACCGCAUACGACCUACGGGUGAAAGCAGGGGAUCUUCGGACCUUGCGCGAUUGAAUGAGCCGAUGUCGGAUUAGCUAGUUGGCGGGGUAAAGGCCCACCAAGGCGACGAUCCGUAGCUGGUCUGAGAGGAUGAUCAGCCACCCUGGAAGUGAGACACGGUCCAGACUCCUACGGGAGGGAGCAGUGGGGAAUAUUGGACAAUGGGCGCAAGCCUGAUCCAGCCAUACCGAGUGGGUGAAGAAGGCCUUCGGGUUGUAAAGCCCUUUUGUUGGGAAAGAAAAGCAGCAGGUUAAUACCCCGCUGUUCUGACGGUACCCAAAGAAUAAGCACCGGCUAACUUCGUG
rnacentral:rRNA from 1 species